AUGCAAGUGGUAGGAAGCCGAAGGUGACCGACCCUUCGGGGAGCUUGCACAGGUGCUGCAUGGCUGUCGUCAGCUCGUGUCGUGAGAUGUUCGGUUAAGUCCGCUAACGAGCGCAACCCUCGCUGUGUGUUAUAUGUGUCACACGGGACUGCCGGUCUUAAGCCGGAGGAAGGUGGGGAUGAUGUCAAGUCAGCAUGGCCUUUAUAUCCUGGGCUACACACACGCUACAAUGGCCAACACAAUAGGUUGCUAAGCCGCGAGGUGGCGCCAAUCCAUAAAGUUGGUCUCAGUUCAGAUUGUAGGCUGCAACCCGCCUGCAUGAAGAUGGAGUUGCUAGUAACCGCAGGUCAGCUAUACUGCGGUGAAUACGUUCCCGGGGCUU
rnacentral:rRNA from 1 species